CUCUAUUUCGGCUUGCAAUUGGGCGUUGUAUAAUGCCAGCGAUGCUGUGACAAGAAAGGAGUGGUCUGAUUGCUUGCCUCUGAUUGCUUGCCUCAGUACAGAGCAGAUGUUAAUAAAUUUAAUGAAAACCCGAACUGCUCAGGCCUUCCAUCUCCAUCAUACGACGUGGCUACAUGCGAUCCAAUUAUUGCCAACUACAUGGCGUGCGGUCUGAUAGCAGCCAAUCUUCUGAAGGCAGACAACACGUUCGACGACGCGGCCUUCAAAGCUGUUAACAGCAUUGAAGAACAAAUGCAGCGCUGACGCCAAGUUCAUAUGCCGCGUACCCAACGUGAAUGAAAUCUACCAUGAAAUAUUUGAACGUAAGUAAAAACAUGUGCUUUUCUAUUUCAUUCAGAAACAAAUGAAACAUUUUCCAUAUGUAUUGCUCAAAUUUUGAGAUGACACGGAAAAAUGACCAACGGUAAAGUAUAGUAUAACAACGAAAGAAAAAACCUCUUUCAUUGAUUCAUAGAUUCAACGAUGUCACACCACUGCAUCAAAGAGAAGAGAUUACAGAAUGUCCAUAAAUGUUCAUGGCUGAUGACUCAUGUUUCAUGUUCCAGUACAGUCGACUAUUCAGUUGUCUCAUAAAUGCUGUACGCCAUGGGUAUAUAUAAGUCAGGGAAGAACAUUGAAAUGAGCCAGAAGAAGACGAACUUGAGCAUCAGAAGACUUUUCUUCUUGCGUAACCACUUCAUUUCCGCAUAGAUGAAUUGCUGACGAGAAUAUUGUAAUUGUUGCAAUAUUGAAUUCGGGAUUUCUUCGAUUAUGUUUGUGGCUGCGUGCUUUAAUCUCUGGUUUACGGAUUUUUUACAAUAGAGUUUCACUUUCUCUCCCUCAUAAAAUAAAGGUUCCGAAAAAGAAUAUUAUAGGAUGCAUUGC